rnacentral:rRNA from 1 species
UACAGAGGUCUCAAGCGUUGUUCGGAUUCAUUGGGCGUAAAGGGUGCGUAGGCGGCGCGGUAAGUCGGGUGUGAAAUCUCGGAGCUUAACUCCGAAACUGCAUUCGAUACUGCCGUGCUUGAGGACUGGAGAGGAGACUGGAAUUCAUGGUGUAGCGGUGAAAUGCGUUGAUAUCCACAGGAACGCCGGUGGCGAAAGCGACAGGCUGGAUCUCUUCUGACGCUGAGGCGCGAAAGCCAGGGGAGCAAACGGG